rnacentral:rRNA from 1 species
AGUGAACGCUGGCGGUAGGCCUAACACAUGCAAGUCGAACGGCAGCACAGUAAGAGCUUGCUCUUACGGGUGGCGAGUGGCGGACGGGUGAGGAAUACAUCGGCAUCUACUUUUUCGUGGGGGAUAACGUAGGGACACUUCCGCUAAUACCGCAUACUACCUACGGGUGAAAGCAGGAGAUCUUGGGGCUUUGCCCGAUUGAUUGAGCCGAUGUCGGACUAGCUAGUUGGCGGGGUAAGGGCCCACCAAGGCGACGAUCCGUAGCUGGUCUGAGAGGAUGAUCAGCCACACUGGAACUGAGACACGGUCCAGACUCCUACGGGAGGCAGCAGUGGGGAAUAUUGGACAAUGGGCGCAAGCCUGAUCCAGCCAUACCGCGUGGGUGAAGAAGGCCUUCGGGUUGUAAAGCCCUUUUGUUGGGAAAGAAAAGCAGCAGGUUAAUACCCCGCUGUUCUGACGGUACCCAAAGAAUAAGCACCGGCUAACUUCGUG